UGGAGACCUGGCCGGGAGAGACCGAGCGUCCGUAGAUCGGAAGCCUACCGGGCGGUGGAGGCUCGAGGCUCGGCUCCUGUGCUUCGAGAGACUUUCUUUGGCUCUCCUGUAGCCACUCUAUGGACCAGGCUGGCCUGGAAUUCAGAGAUCUGACUGUCACUGCCUCUGCUUCCUGAGUGCUGGGAUUAAAGGUGUGCACCACCUCCCAGCAACAGGUAAGAUUAAAAACAAUUGUAUAGAUUUUCUGGAGGUGGUUAUGAAUAUUGAUUCUGUUAUUCAUUGUUAAAGAGCCUGGCCUGGCAAACAUUUGACAUUUUUCAUAAUUAGAAUAACUUAAGAAGCAUAAGAAGAUGUCUGAGGUGGAAUGGCAGUACCUCCUGAGAAACAAGUGAGAGCCACUCAGGAGUGUAAGCAUGCUGCUUGCAGUCUUCUUUAUGUUUAAGUGGUAAAGAUACAUACAAAAUAAAGGUGAAAAAUUCAAAGUAUGUAUCCUUAAAAGGUAAGUUUCUAUCAUGAGCAAAGUGCAUUUCUUUGGAAUGCCAUAUAAUGACACAACUAUACAAUAAGGUUAAUUCAGCCCUUUCCCUUCCCAAGCCUCUCUCAUUUGUUAUCCAAAUAAACAUUUCCUUUUCUAGAAGCAAUUCUCCACACACUGCCGAUUGGCUCAACAUAAAAGAUUGUUCUUGUACACGAAGGUCUGGCUACUCAUCCCUUGACACUGUGAGUUCAAUGCCUUUUCCAUUGCUUCAUAGACUACAAAGCCAUGUUCGAGGAGACUCACCAGUCUGUUCAAAGAUGUUAAGAGGAGCUGAAACAGUCGCAGCAGUUGAGAAGCUGAAACACACAGCCUUGCAUUUGGAGGUCCUAAGCAGAAAUGCUGACACACUUAGGCCGUGUCCUGGUUCCUCAGCUUCAGAGACUCAGACAAGCACACGGAGAACAAUUCCACUUUAUUAAUACAUCAGUGUCACAAAUGUGCCCAGUACAGCCAGAGUCCUGAGCAGAUAAAGUGCUAUUGCAGAGACCUGGCAACAGGAGGAGGGGGAAGCCAGUUCAUCUCCUCCAAGUCCCCAGCCUGAAAGGUAUUUCUACUACACAAGAGUAAGGGCAGCUAGUAAUCCAGUCUAUAGAUACUCUGAGCAAAGAACAGAAAACCAUACUAGUGGGCUGUGUGCAGAGCAAGGAAAAAGGAAAGUCAGAAGGUAUCCAUCCCUUCCUCAAAUGGAACAUAGAGAUACCAAACAAUUGUCUUCAGCUUCCUGGAUGUGGUGUCUAUUAAGGAAUGAGCCAGGUCUGCUACUCCUUCCCAGGGACUUAGAACCAUGAUGUAGACACUUUCUUACACCUAAGAAACAGUACCAUUUUCUAACUAUGAAAAACUUACUGACCUUACUUCGCCAGCCCCCCAAAAGCAAGAGUAAUAAACUUGGCAGCAUUUAAGAAGCAUCAGUGACCAGGCAGAGGCAGGUGGAUUUCUGUGAGUUCAAAGCUAGCCUCAUCUACAUACUGAAAGCCUACAUAAUAAGAUCCUGUCUCAAAAACAAAACAAAAAAGCACUAAUAAACCCCAAGACUUCCUAUAAUUAUCUCUAUUAUGGUAUCUCUAUUAUGCCUAGGCAUUAAAAUAAUUUGGUUAGAAAACUCAGAUGUUGUGAAUGAACUGAGUGAACUAUGACAUGGAGUCCAGUUCACCCGUUGUUUCUAUUCCUACAUUAGAAAACAACUGACUGAUGAUUUCCAGAGACAAGAAGGAAGAGUAAAGCCCAUCUGUUCACGCUGGUGCCAUACAGUGCUGAGCUGAAAAGGGCCAAAUCAGUGCCUCUUUCAAGAACUUGACAAUUCCUGACCUUACUGGCCCUCAGGAAAUCCAGAGACAAAGGAGCCAGCAGUUUGCUUCCUUUGCAGCCAAGAAUCCAGGCUUGAGGUAGAGCUCUCAAGUAGGGAAAUGAGGGUGACAUCUCCAGUCUGUCCUAAGAGACGAGCUGGCGGAUGUGAUGCUGUAACGAACGAAAGUGCAGGGGCCUCAGGGAAGGAGCGUGUUCCUCCCACAUAAGGGGGCUCUCAUGGCCAGGCCGAAGGUUGGGACACUAAGAAAGACAAGAUUCGAAGUUCUCAAACUGCUUUGAGCCAAGGGUAAUCUUGAAGGAUUACUUACGCUUAGCUAUUUUUCUGACUUAGUCAAAAAUUUCUAUAACUGAACUGAAGAUUCCAUUGCCGGCACCUCUGUGUCUGAGAUGACACAAUAGCAAAAAAAAAAAAAAAAAAAAAGCAGUUAUAAAGGUUAUUCUCGUUUGUUUAUUUUUAUCUUUGUCUUUUAAGACUAUCCCUGACUGACCUGGAACCGAAUAUGUAGACCAAGCUGGUCUCAUAUUCAUAUCUGCCCACCUCUCUCUGCCUCUGUCUUCUGGGUGCUGGUAUUAAAGGCAUAUGCCACAGCCAGCUGUUACUGGCUCUUAAUGCUGUCA